CCUUUGUACACACCGCCCGUCGCUACUACCGAUUGAAUGGCUCAGUGAGGCCUUCGGACUGGCUCAGGGAGGUCGGCAACGACCACCCAGAGCCGGAAAGUUCGUCAAACUCGGUCAUUUAGAGG
rnacentral:rRNA from 1 species